CUCCACAAACUGGGAGCUUUCUCCUCCUAGCGGCUUGUCCAUGGCUCCCUUGACGCCUACGGUGACAUGCUCCCCGCCGGCUUCCUUCUCGGACGCCCGCCGAGGGCGUCGCCCUCCUUUCCCUGCAGAUCCAUGGCACUCCUCCUACUUAUCCCUAUCAUCGGCCUGUCCUUAACCCCAUGAUGCGUCCACCACCUGGGUCCUCCACUCCCAGCACUGGCUUCUUGGCCCUCCCCUGCUCCUCUACCCCUGGUUUGAAGACAUGGCCAUCCCUGCGAAGGCCCCUUGUCCGAGGACGAGGGCGAUGGGAGCCAGCGGGAAGGAGGAAGGAGGAGGAAGGGGGAGAAGGGAUGCGGCGGCCGGCGGCUAUCUGCCCGAGAAGGAGGAGGGGAGGGGGUGUAGCGCCUAUGGUGUCAAGCGAGGGAGGAAGGAGAGGUUUGGCGGCUAGGGUUGGGGCGGGUGUGGGCUCUGGUGCAGCAACCCCGCGAGGAGGAUUGGAAGCGGAGCACACGCGGGGAUUGGGCAAAAGCCAGUGCCUUUGUGAAGCAAAGGCACAGAGCGCCUUAGCCUAGCAUAUCAGCCACUCGUUUUUCAUCCGACGCACAUGAUAGGCUGAAGGCAAAACACACUCAGACUUGAUGUUUUUAGGAGAGACAGAGGAAUGACAGCAGCGAUGCACUAACGCUCUCCAGCCUGAAUAUUUGCACACAAAAUAUUUGAUGCUAAAGAUCAUUCGGCUGUCAGUUAGUUCGCUGAUGUUUCAAAAAUCUGACAAUAGGCACUGGAAAAACUGACAUUCAGUGUACCAAGUUGACUUUAUAUCAAAGAAAUUUGUACAAUCUGUAUCACUUAACAUGUAAAAUCUGAAGCAAUCAGAGAAGAAAAUACAAACAAGGUAACAUCAUAAUUUCCAAGCACUUGAUAAUCAAUAGUUCUGUAGCAUAGCACUGCAAUUUUCAAGCACAUGACAUUGAAAGUCUGAAGCAUUGUGAAUCACAUUUUGUAGCAAUAAAUACUACUGAUGAUCAAAGUCUGUUACAUAAUAGGCCAUUUCACUUGUACACUUAGGCCAAAAAAGACUAUAGUUAUCCCCCAAAUAUUUUCAAAAAACUAUAGUUAACCCCCAAAGUACCAUGUAACCAACAUCUAGACAUUAGAAGAAAUUUGCACCAUAAAGACUGUCAUCACCAUCACCAUCACCACAAGUAGGGGGAGCAGUUAGGAGCUGAGUAAAGCUCUCAAUGGCAAUGUACUUUGCAUUCUCUGCAUUUGGGCUUCUCUUGCUGCCAUCAUUCUCCACGUCUACUUUGGGCUGCACAUCAUCCUUUUUCUUUUUUUGCUGCCAAUGAAAGUUCCACUAAUUAGUGUAUUAAUAGAUGAAAACAAUUUUUUGUUAUGUCCAGAUUAGAAUAUACCUUUGCUCCCUUUUUGGUUGAAGCAGGAGGUUUAGUUGCCUUGCGCUUGCCCUUGUGCAACUUAUCAAGCCAAUUAUUCUUUCUUUUUGAAUUUUUGGAUUGAACCUCCUUUUUCUUCAGUCAUGCUGCUCUUAGCAAGUCAUCUCCUUGCUGCAUAUUUGGGUCAUCAUUUUCCUGGGCCUUACUAGGUUCAUUCAUGUCACUAGUAGAUGCAUUGAGUUUUUCCUCCAGAAUCAUCCGCUGCUUCGAUUUCAAAAGAUUGAAAUUCUGAAAUUUUCCUUUGGGACGCCAUCAAGUGGCGGGUUUGUGGCAAGUGAAGGAGGUGAUUAUGCUCAAGAACUACAUCAGUGACUUCCAAGUUUUCGGACUCUCGAUCCAAUGUAAGACUCAUCCGAGCUUUACAAUCAGUUCUUGUUUCAGCUCUAAAGCACUUCUGAACGGAUUCCCUUUGCCCUUUUUUCCGAUGGCCUUCAUUGGCACAAACAAAUCUGCAAGAGGUUAUCUUACCAUCAAAUUUGCUCACAUUGUUGUACCUUUUCCUCACAUCAAAGCCAGCACGACCACCAUAUGCUCUCCAAAAUAGCCAAGCCUCCUCUGAACUUUUAAAUAACAUGCCAACUUGAGGCAUCCCCUUAUCAGACUGUGCCAUUGCACACAACCCAACCAUACAUGUAUAAUCAGAUGAUCAAAUUGCACAACAAUAACAGAUUUUGUAGAUGGAAAGUUGAAAGAAUUACUACUGCACAGCCUUGUGCUGUGUACUAUACUGCACAACCAUGUAUUGUAUACUACACACUACUACAAGUUUUCUGAAUUUAUAGCUGCAAUUGCUUGUGUGUGUGUGUGUGUGUGUGUGUGUAUGUGUGUGUGUGUGAUCAGAAUGCAUGAAAUUUAUAGAAAUCAUGGGCAAUUUGUUCAGGUCAUACACGCAUGUGCAAGCAAAUAAAUAUUGUUGCCUAAACUGAACCUGAACCUGUACACGCAUGUACACGCAUGGGCAAUUUACAGUCGAACCUGAAUCUGAACCUGAACAUUUUAAAGUUAAACAUGAACAUUCAGUUAGCAGCGGACUAAACUGAACCUGGAUUACCUACAGCGGCGGUGGCUGCAGAUUCACAACGAAAUCGCGGGGAAGAUCAGGCGGACAACCAUCCUCCACUGCCGCACGGCCAUCAUCCCUCGCCUCCGUGGUGGCGCGACCUUCGGCCCUCGCCACGGCCCCGCCUCGAUCUCCAAUGGAUGCGGUGCGAGGCCCUCCUCCCUCUCCUCAGCGGCGGCGCGACUCUCUCUCUCUCACGGCGGCACGACGCCGCUCAACUCUCUCUCUCUCCUCGGUGAGCUCGCCCGUCAAACCCUCGCCUCCGUCGAGCGGCGCGGGAGAACUGUUUCAGCCCGCGCGCAAAAACGCCUCGCCCCGCCUCUGUCUCUCCUGAAAACAGCUAGGCUGGGGACGUUUUGCCUUCAGUCUAUCCUGUGCGUCGGAUGAAAAACGAGUGGCAGAUAUGAUAGGCUAAGGCGCUCUGUGCCAUCCCUGCGAAGGCCCCUUGUCCGAGGACGAGGGCGAUGGGAGCUAGCGGGAAGGAGGAAGGAGGAGGAAGGGGGAGAAGGGAUGCGGCGGCCGGCGGCUAUCUGCCCGAGAAGGAGGAGGGGAGGGGGUGUAGCGGCUAUGGUGUCAAGCGAGGGAGGAAGGAGAGGUUUGGCGGCUAGGGUUGGGGCAGGUGUGGGCUCUGGUGCAGCAACCCCGCGAGGAGGAUUGGAAGCGGAGCACACGCGGGG
rnacentral:lncRNA from 1 species